GAUCCUACGGGGGGCAGCAGUGGGGAAUAUUGCGCAAUGGGGGAAACCCUGACGCAGCAACGCCGCGUGAGUGAAGAAGGCCUUCGGGUUGUAAAUCUCUUUAAUCAGGGACGAAGAAUGACGGUACCUGAAGAAUAAGCUCCGGCUAACUACGUGCCAGCAGCCGCGGUAAUACGUAGGGAGCAAGCGUUAUCCGGAUUUACUGGGUGUAAAGGGAGCGUAGGCGGGCGAGAAAGUUGAAUGUUAAAUCUACCGGCUUAACUGGUAGCUGCGUUCAAAACUUCUUGUCUUGAGUGAA
rnacentral:rRNA from 1 species